AGGCCUUGACCGGCAUCUGUUGUUGAGCCAAAGAAGAAGAAGAAUAAACUCCGAAAAUGAACCAAAACAACAUGCCGCAGUCCGGUAGAGGUAAGAAGAUUCCUGCAUCUGGAAAAAAGAUCCCGCAGUAUUUUGGAGCAGGAAAAUGAAGAACCUGGAACUAAAAAAAAGAUAAGAUUGCAAUGCAUUGUUUACAUGUUCGAUUGUUAAAUGUAUGCAAUUAUUUUCAGCGUGCAAUAUAGUCCAACCGAAGUCAAUCCGACAAAUUAGUGCAAAUUUUAAAACCGUCAUCAAACCGUCAAAGACAAAAACGGAAACCAUAGUCUCCAUGACAGGGUAUUCUUCAGUAUUUGCCACGUUCUAGAUGCAAUUCAUUAGAUGAGCACAACAAUAUUAACAUCACAAAUAACAUCACUUCUCGCCAGCCAAUUGCUAUUUAUGGCACGGAUAACGAUUCUCCAAACCUUCCAACCGUUCAAAACCGCUUUGUACCCAAAAUGUGGCUUCAUUUAGCUAACAUUGCUCCUGGCACUUCCUGUGAACAAGUCGUGGAAUCUGUGAAACGACGGCUGGCCACAACCGACGUCAUUGCAUUUAGCUUGAUGGGCAAAAAUGUCGACACUACUUUGGCUAGACCGAUGUCGUUUAAGGUUCAACAAGAUCCAACAACAAAUGUUUCCACAUCAAAUGUCUCCAUGACAGGGUAUUCUUCAGUAUUUGCCACGUUCUAGAUGCAAUUCAUUAGAUGAUUAUCUUUACAACCAAUCAUUCGAAGAAACCCUAUCCAUACCGAUAUCGACACCCGCACCAAAUGACAAUAGUAGUAAUGACAAUACCUACAACAACCUCAACUACGACUGCACCUACAUCAGCAAAUCAGAAAAUCAAAAAACAAAUUCAACAUUAGAGCGCAAAUUGGAUAUUUUAAAUACCAAAUUAGAUUAGGGUAAAUGUACCAGUAUUGGGCAGGUUAGUGCAGGAGUUUCGCAAAAACUGCUUGUACACUUACAAUUUUUAUUACUUUUCAUGAAAGUGACGUUAUUUUGAACGAUUAACUAUCGAAUUAUGUUGUGCUAUUUUUUAUUUGCCGUUUCAAAUGCAUUUUCUAGGGAUAUUCAUGAA